UACGUAGGGGGCAAGCGUUUGUCCGGAUUUAUUGGGCGUAAAGAGCGUGUAGGCGGCCAUGCAGGUCCGUUGUGAAAACUCGAGGCUCAACCUCGAGACGUCGAUGGAAACCGCAUGGCUAGAGUCCGGAAGAGGAGAGUGGAAUUCCGUGGUGUAGCGGUGAAAUGCGCAGAUAUCAGGAAGAACACCCGUGGCGAAGGCGGCUCUCUGGGACGGUACUGACGCUGAGACGCGAAAGCGUGGGGAGCAAACAGG
rnacentral:rRNA from 1 species